UACGUAGGGUGCGAGCGUUGUCCGGAAUUACUGGGCGUAAAGAGCUCGUAGGUGGUUUGUCGCGUUGUUCGUGAAAACUCACAGCUCAACUGUGGGCGUGCGGGCGAUACGGGCAGACUGGAGUACUGCAGGGGAGACUGGAAUUCCUGGUGUAGCGGUGGAAUGCGCAGAUAUCAGGAAGAACACCUAUGGCGAAAGCGGCUCUCUGGGACGGUACUGACGCUGAGACGCGAAAGCUAGGGUAGCAAACGGG
rnacentral:rRNA from 1 species